AGUGAACGCUGGCGGUAGGCCUAACACAUGCAAGUCGAACGGCAGCACAGUAAGAGCUUGCUCUUACGGGUGGCGAGUGGCGGACGGGUGAGGAAUACAUCGGAAUCUACUUUUUCGUGGGGGAUAACGUAGGGAAACUUACGCUAAUACCGCAUACGACCUACGGGUGAAAGCAGGGGAUCUUCGGACCUUGCGCGAUUGAAUGGGCCGAUGUCGGAUUAGCUAGUUGGCGGGGUAAAGGCCCACCAAGGCGACGAUCCGUAGCUGGUCUGAGAGGAUGAUCAGCCACACUGGAACUGAGACACGGUUCAGACUCCUACGGGAGGCAGCAGUGGGGAAUAUUGGACAAUGGGCGCAAGCCUGAUCCAGCCAUACCGCGUGGGUGAAGAAGGCCUUCGGGUUGUAAAGCCCUUUUGUUGGGAAAGAAAAGCAGCAGGUUAAUACCCCGCUGUUCUGACGGUACCCAAAGAAUAAGCACCGGCUAACUUCGUG
rnacentral:rRNA from 1 species